rnacentral:rRNA from 1 species
UACAGAGGUCUCAAGCGUUGUUCGGAUUCAUUGGGCGUAAAGGGUGCGUAGGUGGCGCUGUAAGUCGGGUGUGAAAUUUCGGAGCUUAACUCCGAAACUGCAUUCGAUACUGCGGUGCUUGAGGACUAGAGAGGAGACUGGAAUUCAUGGUGUAGCAGUGAAAUGCGUAGAGAUCAUGAGGAAGACCAGUGGCGAAGGCGGGUCUCUGGACAGUUCCUGACACUGAGGCACGAAGGCCAGGGGAGCAAACGGGG